GUAGUACUCCCUCCGUUCCGAAUUACUCGUCGCAGAAAUGGAUGUAUUUAGAUGUAUUUUAGUUCUAAAUACAUCCAUUUCUGAGACGAGUAAUUUGGAACGGAGGGAGUAUUUG
rnacentral:pre_miRNA from 1 species